UAAGGCUUUAGCUUAAUUAAAGUGUCUGAGUUGCAUUCAGAAGAUGUUGGAUAGAGUCCUGCAAGUUUUAU
rnacentral:tRNA from 1 species